GGGGAUGCUAGGUAUCGACGGGAAAUUUGCACUUUUAUAAAUCGUUGGAGCGCACCUGUGCGUUAAACGGAAAAAUUAACUGAUAAAAACACUUUGUCUAAAGGGGUAACCAAUCGGAAUAAGGUCUUAAAAAGUAAUCAGUUGUAUUUAAGAUCGAUAAACUUAACUGACUGUCUCGAUGCGCUUUGAUUAUUAAGCGAUUGGGGCAAGAGUAAAAAUAAUCUAACUCCAACUAAAAAUUUAUAAGGGUGUUUUCUCGGACGCGGGUUCAAUUCCCGCCAUCUCCACCA
rnacentral:tmRNA from 1 species